UACGAAGGGUGCAAGCGUUACUCGGAAUUACUGGGCGUAAAGCGUGCGUAGGUGGUUUGUUAAGUCCGUUGUGAAAGCCCUGGGCUCAACCUGGGAAUGGCAGUGGAUACUGGCAAGCUAGAGUGCGGUAGAGGGUAGUGGAAUUCCCGGUGUAGCAGUGAAAUGCGUAGAGAUCGGGAGGAACACCAGUGGCGAAGGCGAGUCCCUGGACAACUCCUGACACUGAGGCACGAAAGCUAGGGGAGCAAACAGG
rnacentral:rRNA from 1 species